rnacentral:rRNA from 1 species
UAGUCCACGCCGUAAACGAUGGGCACUAGGUGUUGGGUUGGCUUUUGGUCGAUUCGGUGCCGUAGCUAACGUAUUAAGUGCCCCGCCUGGGGAGUACGCUCGCAAGGGUGAAACUCAAAGGAAUUGACGGGGGCCCGCACAAGCGGUGGAGCAUGUGGUUUAAUUCGAUGCAACGCGCAGAACCUUACCGGGGCUUAAACUGCUAAGUAAAGUCUAUGAAAGUAGGUCUGCUCUUCGGAGCAACUUAGUAGAGGUGCUGCAUGGCUGUCGUCAGCUCGUGUCGUGAGAUGUUGGGUUAAGUCCCGCAACGAGCGCAACCCUUGUCUUUAGUUGCCAUCAUUAAGUUGGGCACUUUAAAGAGACUGCCGGUGACAAACCGGAGGAAGGUAAGGAUGACGUCAAGUCAGCAUGCCCCUUAUGCUCUGGGCUACACACGUGCUACAAUGGCCGUGACAAAGAGUUGCUACUUUGUGAAAACAAGCUAAUCUCAUAAACGCGGCCUCAGUUCGGAUUGC